UCCAGCGGCUGCUAAUCGCCUUUAAGUGGCCCACAGGUGCCCGGUUUGGCCUCCGAAUUCUAAGGAAGGAAAGGGCAGAAUAGCAAGCGAAAGAGAUCCAAUCUUACUCACCACGUGACGAUCUACCUGCCUUUCCUGGAGAUCCUCCUGGCUGGCUCGCCAAAAUGUAGCCAAAGGUUCUUGCCUUAGCCACGCCAAAGAUUUGGUGUGGCGGCAGCCCGCGGUGAGAGAGAGACACGGAUCGGACCAAGAGAAAAAAAAAUGAAGAAUCGGUAUCAUGUAAAUGGCCAUACUGCCCAAGGUAAUUUAUAGACUCAAUGCCAUCCCCAUCAAGCUACUAAUGACUUUCUUCACCGAAUUGGAAAAAUCUACUUUAAAAUUCAUAUGGAACCAAAAAAGAGCCCACAUCACCAAGUCAAUCCUCAGCCAAAAGAACAAACCUGGAGGCAUCACGCUACCUGACUUCAAACUAUACUACAAGGCUA
rnacentral:lncRNA from 10 species